CCUGGCGUCCGGAGGGACCGAGAUGUUCAGGGCCUGGGCUGCUCUGCGAUCUGGCCUGGUCCGCUGCAUCCCAGACAAAUUGCGGUUUUCAGCUUAUGUCAUUGGGUCCCCAUCGUGUCAUGCUGUGAUAUCAUACCGCACCCAAUCAAGAAUUUGGAUCCAGGAAUCAGGCAUGGUGGUGCACACCUUGGGAGACAGUGGCAGGAGGAUCUCUGUGAGUUCAAGGCCAGCCUAGUCUAUAUAACAAGGUCAAGGACAACCAGGGCUACAUAGAAAGACCAUGUCUUUUAAAAAAAUGGAGUUUGUUGAGUAACAGUUUGGAUGUGCCUCUCCCUGCACUAACCACCCAACUACCCAAAAAGAAAAUCUGUGACCCAAACCAUGGUAACCAGCUGUGGCGCCUGUCUGUUGGGAAGCUGUGCUUUUGUGGAGGUUGGGAUGAGCGGGACAUUCCUGUCACAGGCAGGAAAGACAUAGUUAAACUGGUUUCAUGUCCAGACUUCUGGAAUAAUGGGUGUUGACCAGUUCCUGUGGUGGUGGCUGCCACACAGGGCAGAUGGUUCGGACCUGGUUUCUGGAUUUCCUGGAGACCACUGGACUAGCCUUUACAGCACAUGCUGACCAAGGAUUUCUUGGUGUAGGGACUAGGCUGGGUGUAAGACCCUGGUGUGGCUUUUGCCUUUGGGGACCUUGUGCAGGAGGUCAGAUUUAGAGUGCCGGAAACCUUUAGAGACUCCGGAAACAGUCUGGGAAGAGGGGUUCCAAUGUCAGGUAACUUAGGGGCAGUUGUGCUCGCCUCUGUACCCUGUGAGCUUAGCUUCUAUGAAGACUCACCAAUCCUUCACAGGGGUGUAAGGCCAGCAAAAGCAAGCUCAGUGUUGUUUUGUUUUGUUUUGUUUUUUGUGCCUGUCACUGUCACUGUGUUAUUUGCUGCAGUCUCAGAUGGUCAUUUCUGGUGCUUCUAAUGCUGGCUGUGGGGUGGGGGACAGCUGGGGUUAUAGGAAGGAGGCCCUUUCUUCUGGCUCUUCCUGAUGGGAGGCCACCAUGACUAUCAUAUCCAGGCACCCUGCCAAAGACACAGAGUCUCUUUCUUAAUUUUGGCAGCUUCUCCAGGGGAGCUAUCAGAGCUGAGAAACUAGAACUACCACGUUGGGGGUUGGGGUGAGGCCAGUGCUCAGAUUCUGCUGGAGCCCAUUGUGUGGCAUCUGGGUUCCCCUUCCAGCUCCUGGAAGGUACUGGAGUCUGUCCAUCUCUUCUAUUACCUGCCUACAUCCCUAGUGGACUGAAGCUGGCCUGUGGGUCUGGUAGGACCUACCACUCCCUCAGAAGCUAGGAGUCUAGUGCUCUGUUCUGGAACAGUCCUGUUUCUCUUCCUGCUUCACAGAGAGACAUAGGUUUUCUGAUGCUGCACAUGCUUCAGAGCCUUCCACGGGCUGCUAAGGAGCCCUGGGCUAAGGCCUAUGUGCCAGGAGUAUUCUCACUCAGUCUGUUUCUUUCUCUUCUGCCCAGAACAGAGAGGGGUUGGCCACAGCCUUGGGCAGGGGCACACUGCAGAAAUGAGGCAUGGAGGGUGGUUGCCGAGGCUACCCUGGCUCUGUGUCCGAGACCCCUGUCGCCUUCACUCUUCCCUUUUUACCCCAAAGCCCAUUUCCUUCCAGAAACCCAUGCCUCUUUUUAUCUAAAAGAAUGCACACACAUUCCUACCUUUUUGACUCUAACCAAGCAAGGCACAGCUCAGGCUCCACCUCCUUCAGGCAGGCUUCUAUGCUCACAUAAUACCUGGAAUUGAUCUUUUUCCCUUCGUACAUGACAUCCUAGGCAAGUCUUGCUGGAUAUCCUGCAAAGCAGCCUGCACUGGAGCUACACGAUGCUGUGGGGCUCCCUCUUACCUAGGUACUGCUUGGGCUGCAAAGCUGAUGCCUGCUUUGCUUCUCUAGUGAGUCCUGGCUGCAGGGGUGAAGCCACAGAAUUGGGCCUGAGCUCAGGGUAGAGGGACACACCUUUAAUCUAGCACUCAAGAGGCAGAAGCAGGUGGAACUCUGUGAGUUCCAGGACAACCUGGUCUGUAUAGAAAGUUCCAGGCCAGCUAGGGCUAAAUAGUGAGGUCUUGUCUUUAAAA